GCCCCACCCACCUAGAGGAGCCUGUUCUAUAAUCGAUAACCCCCGCUUAACCUCACCACUUCUUGCCGAUACCGCCUAUAUACCACCGUCGCCAGCCCACCCCGUGAGGGAAAUAGUAGGCACAAUGAUAAGUCACCAAAACGUCAGGUCAAGGUGUAGCGUAUGAAGUGGAAAGAAAUGGGCUACAUUCUCUAACCUAGAGCACACGAAAAAUCAUAUGAAAUUAGAUUAGAAGGAGGAUUUAGUAGUAAAAAGAAACAAUAGUGUUCUUUUUAAGUUGGCCCUGGGGCGCGCACACACCGCCCGUCACCCUCUUCAACUAAUAAAACACGAUUUAUAAAACACAAAACAAACACAAGAAGAGGUAAGUCGUAACAUGGUAAGUAUACCGGAAGGUGUGCUUGGAAUUA
rnacentral:rRNA from 1 species